CCCCCCCAUAGGCAAGGCAGUAAGUCCCUCUCUUGGCAGUGCUGUGGGCUCUCUUCAAAGCUCUCUGCAGCUGGAAUUCCAGGAGUCCCAGGAGAUGAGGUCAGGAUGCAGCAGCAGAAGCAAGGAGGAGAACUUUGAACAUGCAGGCGUGACUAGGUUCAUUUUCUCCAAGUCUUUCCGGCCAUGUCCCUCUUCACUCCUUCCCUCAAAGCCAUUGCCUCCCAUCAGGAUCAGCUCUCCUUCUUCUAACAAUAAUAAAAUGUACAGCAUGGAGAAAGAGAAAAAGGACAUUGGCACUGGCUAUGAUAAUGACAGUAGAAAACACCAGGAGCAGAGUUCAGAAGAAAAAUGU